GACGGAGGGUGCUAGCGUUGUUCGGAAUGACUGGGCGUAAAGGGCGCGUAGGCGGCUUGGUUAGUCGGGUGUGAAAGCCCGGGGCUCAACCCCGGAACGGCAUCCGAUACUGCCUGGCUUGAGGCCGGGAGAGGAGGGUGGAAUAUCCAGUGUAGAGGUGAAAUUCGUAGAUAUUGGAUGGAACACCAGUGGCGAAAGCGGCUCUCUGGCCCGGUUCUGACGCUGAGGCGCGAAAGCGUGGGGAGCAAACGGG
rnacentral:rRNA from 1 species